ensembl:processed_transcript
GACUGUGGCCUGGUCACCUGCUAGUUGGCAUCUCUUAUCGGUCUGUCAGUCUGUCUGUCUACCUAUCUUAGGAUUGGAAGCACUUUUCUCUCUUCAAACUCCCCCACCCCAAUUCCUUGUUUUUGAAAGUUUUGAAAAAUAGGCACUCAUAUUUUUCUUCCUGGAGUUUUUCUUUUGGCUGCAACUGUUUUAGCCAAGACUGGAGCUCACAAUCCCCCCCCCAUACCCCCACCCUACUAUUACUUCAAAAUAAUUUGCAUCUCUGUGGGGGGUUUUUGCUUUGUUUUUGUUUGUUUUCGGCUGCUUCUCGCUCUUGGAGCUAAGACUUCUUUUCAGGCUCCACCUGGGCCUGGGGUUGGGGCUUGACUUCAUAUUCUACACUUUCUUUUUUGACCUGACUUGAAAGAUGUCUGACUGCCUCUCCCUAGGGACUCUAUCUAGGAGAUGGAUCCCUGGAAGAAGGGAGACACUCCGGCUUCUACUGUGAGAGUCUGGAUAAUAUCCAAAGGCACAGAGCCUCUGGAAACUUAAAAUAAAAAGCUCAACAGCGCUUUCCAAAGACAGGGAAAAGGCUCAAACUGCAAGAUUAGGUCGACGUCUUUCAUAAUUAUUUUCUAUUAAAAACUUUCCCGGAAAUGUGUUCGUGACACCAGCCGGGAGCCUCUUCUUUUCUAGGGAUACUGGCCAGCUCUAGUAUUGUUAUUCUCCGCAAGGAUAUUUUCCUUCUGUGGCCUUUAGAAAAUAAUGGACGACUCGACUUUCUUGUUUUGACUAACGAAACCUCUCUUGGAGAGACUGGAGUACGCAGNNNNNNNNNNNNNNNNNNNNNNNNNNNNNNNNNNNNNNNNNNNNNNNNCAGACAUCUCUUGUGCAACUAAGAAAGACCUCAUUUUCCAUUUGCUGGAUCCUCCUGGUUUGUCAUCCCUGAGUCCUGUAAGAAGCUCAUCAGGAGGUCCCCUGUGCCGGAAGGACCAUGUGAGUUCAUCCCAGAUGAUGGGUGGCACCAUGGUUUUAGCAGCUCACACAGUGGAGAACCACAUUUGCUCUGGAAGAGCUUAGCAACAUGUAUUUGGUAACACAACAAGGUCAGCUUGAGCUCUAUCCUUCUGUGGCCAUACUGAACAAAAGGAGAGACAGACAGACAGACAGACAGACAGGCAGGCAGGCAGGCAGGCAGGCAGACAGACAGAAGCAGAGACAGGCAGACAGAGACAGAGAAACAGAGAAAUGAUUCCUGAAUUAUUUUUAAAAAUUAAUUUUAAAAU